UAGGAGGGGAACAACCGUGUUGACAUCGAUGGAAGGGAGCCAAUCAUUUGUGGAUGCCAUACAACUGCAUGAGCUUGUUGGUACUGAAUUUAGACUCGAAGUGGGUUCUUGAUUUGGUCAGGUAGAAUCACAUUUGGUAGAGGUCCACGGUGUGUGCGUGUUGGUGUGGUUCAUCGAGGCCAGGGAUAUGGACGAGGGACCGAUGAUGAACGUGGUGUUCGACACGGGCGAUGGUGAUCUGGUGGUGCUGGCGUUCAACGCUGUGGGUGACUAGGUAAAUGGCUAAGUGGCUGCAGCACCGGUGCCCAGGAUGGUGGAUGCCGGUGUGUUUAAUAUGACCAGCGAGCAAGGAAGUGUGCUGGGAUGCAGCAGUCAGAUCCUUUUCUGCCCAUUGUCAAAUGGGAUGGCAAGCCAGUUGGUGAUGGAUUGCAUGCACUUGAAAGAAUUCAGGAUAGUUGAAUGACAAAAAAUGCUUUUGCACUAUCUAACAUGCUUUGCGAAGGCACGUGGAUUGGUUCAGAUAGGGUUCUUGUUACUUAUGAUUAUACUUGAGCUAGACAAUGACUCCUCAAACUUUGGAAGGUCAUUUCUGUAUGAUUAUAUCCUUCCAUUUAGGUGAAAUUUGUCUCGGUGAUUAAUAUAAUUUAUAAAAUAAUCAAAACACUUCUCCUUGUAAAAUGAAGUUUGGUUUGUAUUAUUUGUAGGCAAUAUGUUUUGUUUGUAUUCCUAAGAUACAAAAGUUGUGAUUUUAUAUUUUGGAGGCUAUAUAAUUAGCAACAAUAUAAAAACUCUCUCCGUAGUUCUUUUUUCCUAAAUAUUAAAUUUAUCAUAUUAGAUACUUGAUACCAAACCAUGUGUCAUGAUUUCUAUUACUAAACAUACACGUAGCGUUAGCACGGGCAUAUUAUAUCUAAUUUAUAGUUAAUUUAUUAUAUAUCUUAGUUUUACUCAUUAUAUCUUAGUUUUACUCAUUACUCAUUAAUUUGACAACUAUAGGAUAUGAUGGAUUUGGAUCGUUGGAUGUGUGACAUGAUGAAUGAUGAAUGAUGAAUGAGUAAAACCAUUUAAAGCAUAAUGAAUGAGUAAAACCAUUUAAAGCUACCCUAUAGUUGAACAAAUGGUUUUACUCAUUCAUCAUUCAUCAUAUCACACAUCUAACGGUGCAAAAAUCAUCUGAUGAGUUAAGAUCGGACGUCCCAGAUGCGCGCGUGUCGCUCCUCAUCCUCUCCCGCACACCCCCCUCUCUCUCUCUCUCUGCCGCAAUCGACGCAAUCGCCGCGCCUCCUCCGCAUCGGCGCGAUCGCGCAUCCUCUCCCGCAUCUCCCUCUCUUCCGCAUUCGCCGCACCUCCUCCGCAUCC